GAUGAACGCUAGCGGCAGGCCUAACACAUGCGAGUCGAGGGAUAAGCCUUCGGGCUAAGACCGGCGCACGGGUGCGUAACGCGUAUACAAUCUGCCUUUUAUCCGGGGGAUAGCCCGAAGAAAUUUGGAUUAAUACCCUAUGGUAUAAGAGCACGGCAUCGUGCACUUAUUAAAGCUACGGCGGUAAAAGAUGAGUAUGCGUUCUAUUAGCUAGUUGGAGAGGUAACGGCUCCCCAAGGCGACGAUAGAUAGGGGUUCUGAGAGGGAUGUCCCCCACACUGGUACUGAGAUACGGACCAGACUCCUACGGGAGGCAGCAGUGAGGAAUAUUGGACAAUGGUCGGAAGACUGAUCCAGCCAUGCCGCGUGCAGGAUGACGGCCUUAUGGGUUGUAAACUGCUUUUGUAAGGGAAGAAUAAGGAGUACGUGUACUUUGAUGACGGUACCUUACGAAUAAGCAGCGGCUAACUCCGU
rnacentral:rRNA from 1 species